AGUGCAUCUGGAGGAACUGCAGGAAACUCUUCCAAAUGAGCCACUUUCCAGUUGAAGCAAAGCUCCUGGGGUCAGGUCUGGAGGAGAAUGUCAGCAGGACCACCCUGAGCCUUGGAGACCGGGCCAAGCACAAGGAGCUUUGCCUUUGCACUGGGUCACGGUGGUCCCAGCGUGGCUGGGGUCGGUGCCACCCUAGGGAUGCCCUGUCCUCACCCUGCCCUGUGCACCCCUGUUUCCCAUCCCUGUGAUAACAAGGCUGGGCAUCACCAGAGGAACUUGUCUUUUAUCUCCAGCACCUUCCCCAGGACCUCGGAGGACACAGCCAGCUCCUGCACCAUCACACCACCCCGAUGCGCGGCAGGAAGCUGUUCCCCACACUGAGUAGGUGGCACAAGGAGACCUUUUCAUCACAUCUUCUGCCCCGAGACCUCUGUGGGCUCGUGGCACAGAAAGCAGAAGCUGCACACCUAGAAACCCCAGAAGGUGGCUCAGUUCUCUCGGCUCCAGCAGAAGGAACACCAUCAGGAAGCCUCAGGAGGAAGCAUGGAUAAACUGCUCUUCUCUAGCAGGGCUCCAGGUGGAGCACCUCAAAAGACAGAACAAUUGUAAUAACCAGAGAUGAGAAUGUGCUCUGCUGUGCUAAUGCUUGCAACAUAACAGCCCACCGAGGAAGGAGCUGGUAGGUGAAGUGAGA